CAGCGACGCCGCGUGAGGGAUGACGGCCUUCGGGUUGUAAACCUCUUUCAGUAGGGAAGAAGCGUAAGUGACGGUACCUGCAGAAGAAGCGCCGGCUAACUACGUGCCAGCAGCCGCGGUAAUACGUAGGGCGCAAGCGUUAUCCGGAAUUAUUGGGCGUAAAGAGCUCGUAGGCGGUUUGUCGCGUCUGCUGUGAAAGACCGGGGCUCAACUCCGGUUCUGCAGUGGGUACGGGCAGACUAGAGUGCAGUAGGGGAGACUGGAAUUCCUGGUGUAGCGGUGAAAUGCGCAGAUAUCAGGAGGAACACCGAUGGCGAAGGCAGGUCUCUGGGCUGUAACUGACGCUGAGGAGCGAAAGCAUGGGGAGCGAACAGGAUUAGAUACCCUGGUAGUCCAUGCCGUAAACGUUGGGCACUAGGUGUGGGGGACAUUCCACGUUUUCCGCGCCGUAGCUAACGCAUUAAGUGCCCCGCCUGGGGAGUACGGCCGCAAGGCUAAAACUCAAAGGAAUUGACGGGGGCCCGCACAAGCGGCGGAGCAUGCGGAUUAAUUCGAUGCAACGCGAAGAACCUUACCAAGGCUUGACAUGAACCGGAAAGACCUGGAAACAGGUGCCCCGCUUGCGGUCGGUUUACAGGUGGUGCAUGGUUGUCGUCAGCUCGUGUCGUGAGAUGUUGGGUUAAGUCCCGCAACGAGCGCAACCCUCGUUCUAUGUUGCCAGCGGUUCGGCCGGAG
rnacentral:rRNA from 1 species